GGGCCUAUAGCUCAGCUGGUUAGAGUGCUUGCGUGGCACGCAAGAGGUCGCGAGUUCAAAUCUCGCUAGGUCCA
rnacentral:tRNA from 1 species